rnacentral:rRNA from 1 species
UACGAAGGGGGCUAGCGUUGUUCGGAAUUACUGGGCGUAAAGGGCGCGUAGGCGGCUCUGAUCGUCGGAUGUGAAAGGCCUGGGCUCAACCUGGGAAUGGCAUCCGAUACGGCGGGGCUGGAGUGUGGGAGAGGUUGGUGGAAUUCCCAGUGUAGAGGUGAAAUUCGUAGAUAUCUGGAGGAACACCGGUGGCGAAGGCGGCAUCCUGGACCGGCAUUGACGCUGAGGCGCGAAAGCCAGGGGAGCAAACGGG